AUGAAUUUAGAUUUGUUUUUGGGCUCCCAGAGUAGAAAUCUGUUUUAGGUAUCUAGACAUCUCUAACAAUUGCUGCUAAUACACAGAAUAAGUUAGUGUGUGGUGGACAGGUGUAAGCCUGACAUCCAUGUAAGAUAUAGUAUCCUAAUGGAGCAUAGUUUGUAUUGAGAGCAUAAGUAUCAUUUGUUAUAAUAGAAGAGAAUGAAUUUUGUGUCUCUCAAUGUGUGCAGAUUUCAAAUCAAGCAGUUUUUGUUAAAAAAAAAAAAAAGCUUAUUUGUCUGAAGAGAACAAACUGAGUCAGAGCCAGAAUAAUCUCAGUCUGUGUUACACCCUCCCAAGUCUAAACCAGGAAGAAGUCGAAUCCCUGAAUACACCAAUAACAAAGUCUGAAAUUGAGGCAGUAAUUAAUAGCCUACCAACAAAAUAUAGUCCAGGACCAGAAGGAAUCACAGCCGAAUUCUACCAAAGGUACAAAGAGGAGCUGAUACCAUUCCUUCUUAAGCUAUUCCAAACAAUAGAAUAAGAGGGACUCUUCCCUAACUCAUUUUAUCAGACCAGCAUCAUCCUGAUACCAAAACCUGGCA
rnacentral:lncRNA from 10 species